AUUGAACGCUAGCGGCAGGCUUAACACAUGCAAGUCGAGGGGUAUGCCGAUUUAUCGGCAGAGACCGGCGCACGGGUGCGUAACGCGUAUGCAAUCUACCUUUCACAGAGGGAUAGCCCAGAGAAAUUUGGAUUAAUACCUCAUAGUAUAGCAGUUUCGCAUGAAACCACUAUUAAAGUCACAACGGUGAAAGAUGAGCAUGCGUCCCAUUAGCUAGUUGGUAAGGUAACGGCUUACCAAGGCAACGAUGGGUAGGGGUCCUGAGAGGGAGAUCCCCCACACUGGUACUGAGACACGGACCAGACUCCUACGGGAGGCAGCAGUGAGGAAUAUUGGACAAUGGGCGCAAGCCUGAUCCAGCCAUGCCGCGUGCAGGAAGAAGGUCCUAUGGAUUGUAAACUGCUUUUANACAGGAAGAAACACCUCUACGUGUAGAGACUUGACGGUACUGUAUGAAUAAGGACCGGACUAACUCCGUGCCAGCA
rnacentral:rRNA from 1 species